AAGACGCUAAAACCUGGUAGUUUACCGUCCAUAUUUCCAUUCAUAAAACGGAAACCGGAACGUUAGUUGUCAAGCAAUAGAGCCCAAACAAGAGAAAAAAUUGCACGACGACAGGAAGUGUGGAGCUUGUUAGAACAGUGUAAUAACGAGCCUAGAGAGUCCACCAAUAUUGAGCAUAUGCAGGAUACGACUGAUGUUGAUGUCACAAUUUUCCGAAGUGUUGAAACACAAUGUGACCAAAAAAUUUUCGUCGAUGCGGAAUUCCAAUGUGAUAUGAUAUCAAAACGAAGCAUUGCUGUUCAAACCCUUGCCCCACGGAAAAGAAAAAGAAAGGGCACAAAACGUUCCAAAAUUCAUAAAGGCCCUCCCUCUUUGAAAUCAAAAAAUGUAAACAUUUUGGGAGACUCAAAAAUCGGCAAUGCCAAAUUAAGAAUAAAAAGAUUGUAUUGUGGUUUGACAAAAAUAUGAAUUUAUGAAAGUGUUCUA